GGGCGGAUACCCAAGCGGCCAAAGGGGACUGACUGUAAAUCAGUUGUCAGAUGACUUCGGAGGUUCGAAUCCUUCUCCGCCCA
rnacentral:tRNA from 1 species